CAUAAUCAAGUAAUCGGCCUCACUUUCCAGUUCUUUGAAUUCCACAGAAAUUCCGCAGUCACAAGGAUCUGCAAGCGUCUCCCUUCUCAACUCUCUUUGUAAUGGAUGGGGAUUUCGCAGUCAAUCACAAGGAUCUGCAAAAGCUAGAGAGAGAGAGAGAGAGAGAGAGAGAGAGAGAGAGAGAGAGAGAGAUUGUCAAGUUUGUCCUGACAAUACACCCUCAUCCACUAGCUAAGCACAGCACGCAGAAGCCAUUCCCUGCUACCCUUCGGUUGCAUCUCUAUUUAGAGGGCAGAUGUGCUUUCCAAAAUCAAGCCAUCCAUUAGUCCCAGCUUCGCAGGCCUCCCAGACAUCAAAUGACUUCAUCAAAUUCUCUCAUCGAAUGGGGUGAUACUGCGUGAUGCUACGCUUCGGCGGGAGCUUCCUCAAUAUGAAAAGGACCAGAGUAGAGGGUAGAAUUUCCACCAACUGUAGAACAUUUAAUGUAAUAAGAAAAAAAUGACACCUUGUUGAGAUCUUUCAGGGAAUGAAGUUGCAUAAGAGCAAGUUCAUAAUUAUAACCUAGAAGACUCAAUAAGUAAACAUUCUCCAAGAGAGAUAUAUAGGACAGCUAAAUGUUCCUUCAAUUAUAAA